UACGUAGGUGGCAAGCGUUGUCCGGAUUUAUUGGGUUUAAAGGGUGCGUAGGCGGUCCUAUAAGUCAGUGCUGAAAUAUCCCGGCUUAACCGGGAGGGUGGCAUUGAUACUGCAGGACUUGAGUGAAGUCGAGGUAGGCGGAAUUGACGGUGUAGCGGUGAAAUGCUUAGAUAUCGUCAAGAACACCGAUAGUGAAGACAGCUUACUAGACUUCAACUGACGCUGAGGCACGAAAGUGUGGGGAGCAAACAGG
rnacentral:rRNA from 1 species